GGACGUAACCACGUGGCAUAACCUACCUAUAGGACUGGGCAUAACUUCGGGAAACCCGGAGCUAAUGCCGGAUAAUAUUUUGAACCGCAUGGUUCAAAAGUGAAAGACGGUCUUGCUGUCACUUAUAGAUGGAUCCGCGCUGCAUUAGCUAGUUGGUAAGGUAACGGCUUACCAAGGCAACGAUGCAUAGCCGACCUGAGAGGGUGAUCGCCACACUGGAACUGAGACACGGUCCAGACUCCUACGGGAGGCAGCAGUAGGGAAUCUUCCGCAAUGGGCGAAAGCCUGACGGAGCAACGCCGCGUGAGUGAUGAAGGUCUUCGGAUCGUAAACUCUGUUAUUAGGGAAGAACAUAUGUGUAAGUAACUGUGCACAUCUUGACGGUACCUAAUCAGAAAGCCACGGCUAACUACGUGCCAGCAGCCGCGGUAAUACGUAGGUGGCAAGCGUUAUCCGGAAUUAUUGGGCGUAAAGCGCGCGUAGGCGGUUUUUUAAGUCUGAUGUGAAAGCCCACGGCUCAACCGUGGAGGGUCAUUGGAAACUGGAAAACUUGAGUGCAGAAGAGGAAAGUGGAAUUCCAUGUGUAGCGGUGAAAUGCGCAGAGAUAUGGAGGAACACCAGUGGCGAAGGCGACUUUCUGGUCUGUAACUGACGCUGAUGUGUGAAAGCGUGGGGAUCAAACAGGAUUAGAUACCCUGGUAGUCCACGCCGUAAACGAUGAGUGCUAAGUGUUAGGGGGUUUCCGCCCCUUAGUGCUGCAGCUACGCAUUAAGCACUCCGCCUGGGGAGUACGACCGC
rnacentral:rRNA from 1 species